UGUUUAAUGGCGGCAUCAGACUUCCUCCUACAAGGACGGGACGUGGCUAGAUUCUUUUUUAACACAGCUUCCAAUUUCCCCUUGAACUCUCUGGGGAAUACUCUAGACAUGUUUACAAUGGUGGAUGUAAUGUGACACUAAUGGAGUGUAGGGUCUGUGUCCCUCACCUUUACAGACCUCAUCUCGUGGCUCCAGCCUGAGGACUCUCACUCCUUUGGGUUCUGUAUGUGUUAGUAAGAUACCAUCUAAAAAGCAGAGAGCAGCCUUCCACAGACAAACCUUCAGUCUCCUUGAUCUUGGACUUCUUAGCCUCCAGAACUUAGGUGAAACAUUAAAAAAGAAAAAGCAAUGGACUGGGGAGAUGGCUCAGUCUGGAAAGUUCCUGCCGUAGAGCGUGAGGACCUGUGCUUUGACCCUCGGCAGCAAAGAAAAAGGAGCCAAGCAAGAGGGCAUGAAGAUUACUUCUCGGCACCCGUCGCCAUUCUUCUAGCAACAGCCCACCUUCUGUCAAAAGGACCCUUCAUUUCCACAGGCUUCUAGAAAAGCAAGGGCAGCGAUACCCGUCUAAUCCUGAAGAAGGUUCCAGCAAUUUUCUAGGCUAGCUGCAAAGUAAUGAGCCUUGACAUUGAUUAAAGAAGUCAUUCUCUCAA